UCUGCAUUUUUAACACAGCUGAAAAACCGACUGGGGGUCCAGCAACAGGUGUAACAGAACAGAGGAAUUGUCGCAUGAGAAACACUGAAGAGCAGCCAAGCUGUACCAGCUUGGUUCAACAGGCUGUACCUGGAGUAAAAAAGAGACUUGAAGACAAGGCCAGAAUACAGACUGCAUGAAAUUCUCAAUGUAUUGGAAGACUAAUAAAAUCUGCAUUAAUUCCAGAAGAAACAAAUCUGCAAGAGGACAUACAUUUAGAUGACCAAGCUGGUUUCCAUUUCUGACUGUCCUGAUGCUUUGAACAGUUAUUUUAAAGCGAGUUGAAAAGAAGACUUGUCAAAAGAAAAUUUA